GCAAGUCGAACGAACUUCCGUUAAUUGAUUAUGACGUGCUUGCACUGAAUGAGAAUUUAACACGAAGUGAGUGGCGGACGGGUGAGUAACMCKUGGGUAACCUGCCCAGAAGCAGGGGAUAACACCUGGAAACAGAUGCUAAUACCGUAUAACAGAGAAAACCGCCUGGUUUUCUUUUAAAAGAUGGCUCUGCUAUCACUUCUGGAUGGACCCGCGGCGCAUUAGCUAGUUGGUGAGGUAACGGCUCACCAAGGCGAUGAUGCGUAGCCGACCUGAGAGGGUAAUCGGCCACAUUGGGACUGAGACACGGCCCAGACUCCUACGGGAGGCAGCAGUAGGGAAUCUUCCACAAUGGACGCAAGUCUGAUGGAGCAACGCCGCGUGAGUGAAGAAGGGUUUCGGCUCGUAAAGCUCUGUUGUUAAAGAAGAACGUGGGUGAGAGUAACUGUUCACCCAGUGACGGUAUUUAACCAGAAAGCCACGGCUAACUACGUGCCAGCAGCCGCGGUAAUACGUAGGUGGCAAGCGUUAUCCGGAUUUAUUGGGCGUAAAGCGAGCGCAGGCGGUCUUUUAAGUCUAAUGUGAAAGCCUUCGGCUCAACCGAAGAAGUGCAUUGGAAACUGGGAGACUUGAGUGCAGAAGAGGAYAGUGGAACUCCAUGUGUAGCGGUGAAAUGCGUAGAUAUAUGGAAGAACACCAGUGGCGAAGGCGGCUGUCUGGUCUGUAACUGACGCUGAGGCUCGAAAGCAUGGGUAGCGAACAGGAUUAGAUACCCUGGUAGUCCAUGCCGUAAACGAUGAUUACUAAGUGUUGGAGGGUUUCCGCCCUUCAGUGCUGCAGCUAACGCAUUAAGUAAUCCGCCUGGGGAGUACGACCGCAAGGUUGAAACUCAAAAGAAUUGACGGGGGCCCGCACAAGCGGUGGAGCAUGUGGUUUAAUUCGAAGCUACGCGAAGAACCUUACCAGGUCUUGACAUCUUCUGCCAACCUAAGAGAUUAGGCGUUCCCUUCGGGGACAGAAUGACAGGUGGUGCAUGGUUGUCGUCAGCUCGUGUCGUGAGAUGUUGGGUUAAGUCCCGCAACGAGCGCAACCCUUAUUACUAGUUGCCAGCAUUCAGUUGGGCACUCUAGUGAGACUGCCGGUGACAAACCGGAGGAAGGUGGGGACGACGUCAAAUCAUCAUGCCCCUUAUGACCUGGGCUACACACGUGCUACAAUGGAUGGUACAACGAGUYGCGAAACCGCGAGGUUUAGCUAAUCUCUUAAAACCAUUCUCAGUUCGGACUGUAGGCUGCAACUCGCCUACACGAAGUCGGAAUCGCUAGUAAUCGCGGAUCAGCAUGCCGCGGKGAAUACGUUCCCGGGCCUUGUACACACCGCCCGUYUUCACCAUGAGAGUUUGUAACACCCAAAGCCGGUGGGGUAAC
rnacentral:rRNA from 1 species